GACGAACGCUGGCGGCGUGCUUAACACAUGCAAGUCGAACAGAGAGGCCCUGCUUUUGUGGGGUGCUCGAGUGGCGAACGGGUGAGUAACACGUGAGUAACCUGCCCUUGACUUUGGGAUAACUUCAGGAAACUGGGGCUAAUACCGGAUAGGAGCUCCUGCUGCAUGGUGGGGGUUGGAAAGUUUCGGCGGUUGGGGAUGGACUCGCGGCUUAUCAGCUUGUUGGUGGGGUAGUGGCUUACCAAGGCUUUGACGGGUAGCCGGCCUGAGAGGGUGACCGGCCACAUUGGGACUGAGAUACGGCCCAGACUCCUACGGGAGGCAGCAGUGGGGAAUAUUGCACAAUGGGCGGAAGCCUGAUGCAGCAACGCCGCGUGCGGGAUGACGGCCUUCGGGUUGUAAACCGCUUUCGCCUGUGACGAAGCGUGAGUGACGGUAAUGGGUAAAGAAGCACCGGCUAACUACGUG
rnacentral:rRNA from 1 species